UCGCAUCCUGCGCGGCCGUGGCGAGCAGGACAAGGAGGAUGAAGAGCAGCGCACGAGCCUGCUUGCAGCCCGAGGACGGUGAACCCCGCCGUGCACCCAUUGGCUUCAUCUUCAUGGAAAGCUAGCAGACCCGAAUAUGCAACCACGUUCGGAGGAGGAGCUCGAUCCGGGAAGAGAAUGAGAAUGAUCUGGCUGGGUUCCCU
rnacentral:lncRNA from 1 species